rnacentral:rRNA from 1 species
CCUACGGGGUGCAGCAGUGAGGAAUAUUGGUCAAUGGACGAGAGUCUGAACCAGCCAAGUAGCGUGAAGGAUGACUGCCCUAUGGGUUGUAAACUUCUUUUAUAUGGGAAUAAAAUGUUCCACGUGUGGGAUUUUGUAUGUACCAUAUGAAUAAGGAUCGGCUAACUCCGUGCCAGCAGCCGCGGUAAUACGGAGGAUCCGAGCGUUAUCCGGAUUUAUUGGGUUUAAAGGGAGCGUAGGUGGAUUGUUAAGUCAGUUGUGAAAGUUUGCGGCUCAAACAGAAAAUUGCAGUUGAAACUGGCAGUCUUGAGUACAGUAGAGGUGGGCGGAAUUCGUGGUGUAGCGGUGAAAUGCUUAGAUAUCACGAAGAACUCCGAUUGCGAAGGCAGUUCACUGGACUGCAACUGACACUGAGGCUCGAAAGUGUGGGUAUCAAACAGGAUUAGAUACCCCAGUAGUC